rnacentral:rRNA from 1 species
AUUGAACGCUGGCGGCAUGCUUUACACAUGCAAGUCGAACGGUAACAGGCCGCAAGGUGCUGACGAGUGGCGAACGGGUGAGUAAUGCAUCGGAACGUGCCCAGUCGUGGGGGAUAACGCAGCGAAAGCUGCGCUAAUACCGCAUACGAUCUAUGGAUGAAAGCGGGGGACCGUAAGGCCUCGCGCGAUUGGAGCGGCCGAUGUCAGAUUGGGUAGUUGGUGGGGUAAAGGCUCACCAAGCCAACGAUCUGUAGCUGGUCUGAGAGGACGACCAGCCACACUGGGACUGAGACACGGCCCAGACUCCUACGGGAGGCAGCAGUGGGGAAUUUUGGACAAUGGGCGCAAGCCUGAUCCAGCAAUGCCGCGUGCAGGAAGAAGGCCUUCGGGUUGUAAACUGCUUUUGUACGGAACGAAACGGUCCUGGUUAAUACCCGGGGCUAAUGACGGUACCGUAAGAAUAAGCACCGGCUAACCACGUGCCAGCAGCCGCCGUAAUAC